AAAUAUGUAAGUGUUAUCUUGUAUAUCAUUAGAAAUAAGGUCUAAUAGUCUCUACCGGGUUACCGUAAAUUACCUGACUACAAGAAUCAUUUAA
rnacentral:ncRNA from 1 species